GGGUCCCAGAGGAGUACCAGAGUGAGUUCAUAACUCUUUUAUUGCUACCUGGAGAGAAGCCUUUCCCACUCAGUGUGGCAUCCAAUGGCAGAUCAACACUCUUGGAAUGGUAACUGAUGUGACUGUGGCUGGAUUUAUCUUGUGUAGAGACAAAGAGCAUCUGCUCCUUUCUGCAGAGGAAACAUUUGUACUGUUCAAAUGGUUGGACUAUGAGUCACAGAUUAAGCAUAAGGGACUUUUCUGAAUGAUGCCGAGCAAGGCCAUAAUUAAAAGAGAGGAAGAAGUUCUGGUGCUCUGGCUUUCCUUGCAGUAAAUUUGGAGUUUGGAGAAAGAAUCCUCUGAAGAGCUAAAGCAUCUCUUGCCCGGGAAGAGGUACUCAAAGGAAGAGCAUUAUUGAACUGCACUGUUUUCUCCUGUCUGAAGCUAACCCCAGCAUGCCUAGUAGGAAAACUGCUGGGGAUUAUGGCUGGGACUUGGCAGAGGAUGGAGGAGCAGAAUUGUGUAGCUGCAUGGAUCAUUCACCAGCCCAAUUCCCUCUUGUCAGUAUGCUAAUAUGCACCUCUUGGAACUUCUAUGCUCCGAUAAUACAGCCAACACAGGAGAAUGGCAGAAGAGCAGAGCUGGAGGCCUUCCCUUCCUUCCACUUCUGGAGGACUGUGUCAGUGCCAGAUUUUGUGUUGGUUGCCAGUGAUUCAAGAUUGAACAAUGUACAGACAGUCCCACCUUUAAGGCAUUAUAUGAUCAAGACCUUGAUUCACACAUAAAAGCUUCCCCCCAAAUGGGGUAAUCAUUCCUAAAAGAGAGAAAGUGGAGGAAUAAAGCCUUCACCGAAAUAUUAUAACCAUGAGACCAGAAUAUGAAGGAAUUCCUGUCCUGUGCUAGAAUAUUUUAG